rnacentral:rRNA from 1 species
UGUUCUUUAAAUGGGGACUUGUAUCAACGGCAUCACGAGGGUUGCACUGUCUCCUUUUUCUAAUCAGUGAAACUAAUCUCCCCGUGAAGAAGCGAGGAUAUUACUAUAAGACGAAAAGACCCCAUGGAGCUUUAAACCCAACUACAUCCCUAUCCCCAACAACUACUUAACCAAUUGGGUGCUGUAUGCUUGGUUUUAGGUUGGGGCGACCAUGGAGUAAAAAAUAACCUCCACGAUGAAUGGGCUUACCCCCUUAUCUAAGAGCCACACCUCUAAGAAUUAAAAUAUUAAUGUAAAAUGAUCCUUUCUAGAUCAACGAACCAAGUUACCCUGGGGAUAACAGCGCAAUCCAUUU